GGACGUUUAGCUCAGCUGGUAGAGCACCUGCUUGACGUGCAGGUUGUCAGCGGUUCGAUUCCGUUAACGUCCACCA
rnacentral:tRNA from 1 species